UUUUUUUCCGAGUCUGAUCUUAUUUAUUUGUUACUCAAAAAGUUAUUUCUGACUGGAUUCAGACUUAGAAGUAGAAGCUCGCAGAGAGGAAAGUCUGCGUCUCUUCGCAAUUUGUUCCUGGCGCUUCUCCUUAGCCUCCUUCAUUCUUUUGGCCAAAAGUUUAGCAUAUUCUGCAGCCUCUUCCUUGUUUAUCUUAGUACGCUGCUUCUUCAGAGCAAUACGCCGCCAUUUGUGCUGCAAGACACGUGGAGUAACAAGACGCUGAAUCUUGGGUGCUUUGGUCCUAGGUUUCUUACCUUCUUUGUUUAAGGGCUUUCUCACAACAUACUGGCGGACGUCAUCUUCUUUAGAGAGAUUGAAAAGUUUGUGGAUUCUGCUAGCUCUUUUCCGUGGCGCCUCGGAGGCGUUCAGCUGCUUGAAGAUGAAGCUGAACAUCUCCUUCCCAGCCACUGGCUGCCAGAAACUCAUUGAAGUGGACGAUGAACGCAAACUUCGUACUUUUUAUGAGAAGCGUAUGGCCACAGAAGUUGCUGCUGACGCUCUGGGUGAAGAAUGGAAGGGUUAUGUGGUCCGAAUCAGUGGUGGGAACGACAAACAAGGUUUCCCCAUGAAGCAGGGUGUCUUGACCCAUGGCCGUGUCCGCCUGCUGCUGAGUAAGGGGCAUUCCUGUUACAGACCAAGGAGAACGGGAGAAAGAAAGAGAAAAUCAGUUCGUGGUUGCAUUGUGGAUGCCAAUCUGAGCGUUCUCAACUUGGUUAUUGUAAAAAAAGGAGAGAAGGAUAUUCCUGGACUGACUGAUACUACAGUGCCUUGCCGCCUGGGCCCCAAAAGAGCU